rnacentral:rRNA from 1 species
AGUGGGGAAUAUUGCGCAAUGGGCGAAAGCCUGACGCAGCGACGCCGCGUGAGGGAUGAAGGUCUUCGGAUUGUAAACCUCUUUCAGCAGGGACGAAGCGAAAGUGACGGUACCUGAAGAAGAAGCACCGGCUAACUACGUGCCAGCAGCCGCGGUAAUACGUAGGGUGCAAGCGUUGUCCGGAUUUAUUGGGCGUAAAGAGCUCGUAGGCGGUUAGACACGUCGGAUGUGAAAACUGGGGGCUCAACCCCCAGCCUGCAUUCGAUACGGUCUGACUAGAGUGUGGUAGGGGUAACUGGAAUUCCUGGUGUAGCGGUGAAAUGCGCAGAUAUCAGGAGGAACACCGAUGGCGAAGGCAGGUUACUGGGCCACCACUGACGCUGAGGAGCGAAAGCGUGGGGAGCAAACAGGAUUAGAUACCCUGGUAGUCCACGCCGUAAACGGUGGGCGCUAGAUGUGGGGACCAUUCCAUGG